UACAGAGGGGGCAAGCGUUGUUCGGAUUCAUUGGGCGUAAAGGGUGUGUAGGUGGCGCGCUAAGUCGGGUGUGAAAUUUCGGAGCUUAACUCCGAAACUGCAUUCGAUACUGGCGUGCUUGAGGACUGGAGAGGAGACUGGAAUUUACGGUGUAGCAGUGAAAUGCGUAGAUAUCGUAAGGAAGACCAGUGGCGAAGGCGGGUCUCUGGACAGUUCCUGACACUGAGACACGAAGGCCAGGGGAGCAAACGGG
rnacentral:rRNA from 1 species